rnacentral:lncRNA from 1 species
CACUGACUCUUAUGAAGAAAACAACAAAUUCAAAAAAAGCAAACAAACGAAAGCAAACCAAAACAACACUUUGCUUAUAUAUAUACACAAGCAUACACCUCAAAAUAUGUGUUUACUAUGCUAAUCAUAAAUUAGACUUAAACUAAAACUCUGUGCUUUCCAAGUUUUCUGGGCCAGAUAUCUGAUAAGCAAGAGUAUAUAUUUGUAAUUUAUCAGAAAUAAUGAAACAUAUCCACUGUAUUAGUUUCUUAAGGCCACCAGAACAAAUUGCACAAACUGACGGGCUUCAGACAACAGAAAUUCAUUCUUUCACAUUUCU